AGGGAAGCGAGUUCCACAGGAACGGUGCAGCCCUCGAGAAAUCUUGAAGGCGAGCAUCAGAGGUGGGAGUACGGACAGAAGAUAGACGUAAGUCUUCAGCAGAUCGUAAGGGCCUAGACGGGACAUACUUGUGUAUAAGGGAUGAUAGAUAGGUGGGAGCAGCAUUAUGUAGAGAUUUGAAAGCAAGAAGCCGAAUUUUAAAUUGAGCUCUAUAUUUUAUAGGAAGCCAAUGUAGGGACUGACAGAAG